UCAGAACCUCGUGAGACAGUUCGGUCUCUAUCUACAGUGGGCGUAAGAAAUUUGAGUGGAUCUGACUCUAGUACGAGAGGACCGAGUUGGACUGACCGCUGGUGUACCUGUUGUUUCGCCAGAAGCAUUGCAGGGUAGCUAUGUCGGGAAGGGAUAAGCGCUGAAAGCAUAUAAGCGCGAAACCCACCACAAGAUGAGAUUUCUUUAAAGGGUCGUGGGAGACUACCACGUUGAUAGGCUAUAGGUGUAAAGGCAGUAAUGUCAUAGC
rnacentral:rRNA from 1 species